rnacentral:misc_RNA from 1 species
UAAUCUCACUUCAACCACUUUUGUGAUGUUGAAUGUGGACUUGGAUGUUGCCGUGUCCAACGGCUCAUCUGAAAUGCUUGAGUGUACCCUGCUUUGCAGCGUAUCAGUGUGAUAAACAUCUUCACUGUUAAGUCUCUAGGGACACGCUAGUGUUGCAGGCUCUAUGCUUCCAACCGUCUCAGGACAAUCUCUGACA